rnacentral:ribozyme from 14 species
UCUUCUCCUUUUCUCCUUUUCUUUCUCGUUCGACGUUUCGGAAGAUGCAACAAAAGUCGGACGAGACGCUCUGAGUGACGACACCAAAAGCAUCAAAAAGUGAAGAAAAUGUU